UAUUUUGGUUAUUGAUGUGAGCAUCAAGGA
rnacentral:piRNA from 1 species